GGGCCUGUGGAGUCUAAGGACUCCAAUGAAAGCAGCCUGGCUGAGCUGUGUCCUGAGGACGGAGUUGCAGCCCGCAGGGGAGAGGAGUCCGCCAAGGUGAGGACCUGGAGGCACAGAGCACGACCCAACCUGCUGGCGAUCACACGGCUCGUGGGUGGAGGAGGGGGUGCAGCGCCUGGGCGGCCUGGCUUGGGGGGCCCACGCUCUGCUGCGACACAGUGGAACCACCCGCAGCCGUGUGCAGAUUCCAUGGACGGGUGCAUGUAAACCCUGCAGCCCAGCACCCGAGCCCUCCAAAACAUCAUCACCAAGAGACCUGGCUUCGCACCUGGCUCUUUGCUCUUCAAGAAGAGCUGCCUCUCUUUCUCUGGUCCUAGGCCAAAACAUUCCAGAGAAGGCACAGUCCAGGGCACAGCUCUGGACAGGCAGCCCACCCCUCGCUGGCUGGAGUGAAAGGAGGAGCAGAUCCCAGGAAGACAGACUGAGCAAACAUACCAGAUGCCAUAGACAUCUCUCAUGGCACCAAGCAAGAGGCCAGAUUCUAGAAUAUAUCUUCUGGCGGUAAACUCUAGCUGCGAGUGUGAUGGGAGCGUAUUUGCUGUAGAAGCUGGACACAGCGGCCGGGUCUUAGCUUUCCCAGAACGGAUCGCCAGCCCGACAAUGGUGCUAACAGGGAUGUGCAGUGGAAAUGACAGGACUUUGGAGCUAGAAAGCCUCAGACUCGAAUCCAGGUUGUAAAAUAAGGACGAUAAUGACUAAGAACUGACGGACUAAGGGCUGCAAUGCAGCAAGUGGUGCACCAUCCAGAUCACCCUUUGUGACUAAGUCAUUUGUUCCCCCAGCUGCUGAGGGUCCUGGGGCUGAUCCCUCACCACCGAGACCCUUCCUAUGGUUUAUUCAAUCAGAAUAAUUUCAAAAUAACUGAAGUCCUUUACUAAUUCUAUUAGGAAUAAGACUUUGGGUUGCAAGUUGCAAAAAACCCUGUUGAGAUUGUUUAGGGGAAGGAAGAGUUUAUCUGUGAAUCCAUAUGGUUGGUGGGGAAGGUUCAUGAAACUGUGAUGUCACGGGGGGGCCGUUCAUGCGUAUGGGAACCAGGGACGCGGUGAGGUCAUCAGGACCUAGACCCUCUCCUCCUCCUUCCUUUAUGCUGACUCCAUUCUCAGAUAGUCUUUAACCACGUGGCAGUGAGAUGGCUGCCAUCUGCAUUAUCUACACUAAGGUUUCAGUCCCACAGCCUAGCAGGUGUGUUGUAUAGGGGUUGAGAGCAUGGACUCGCCCCCUAGAUUGCCCAGGUUCAUUUCUUACCAGCCGUCUGACUAGGGGAAUUAGUUACCCUGUUUGUACCAUAGCCUCCUUAUCAGUCCAGUGGUUGAUGAUAGCCCACCCUUUUCCAUAGGAUGACACGUAUGAAAUGUGUUAAUACUUGUCAAGUGUCUAGAACAGUGAAAAGCACAUUGUAAACACUACAUAAGAGUUUGUUAAAAUUUUAAAAAUACAUGUCUGAUUAACUUGACCUAGGUCACGGUUCCCACCUCUGAAGUUGUAACUGUGGGCCAGAAGGAAAUGAUGUUCAGGUUCCCCGUCCCAGAAGUGAGGGUGGAGUUGAUUCCACCGAAAUAUAGGGUCUGAGGUGCGAGCUUCCCCACAAGUGUUCAGAUAUCUGUUACCAGAUGAAGGGGGAUAAGUGCUGGACAGAAAAAUAACAAAUGUUGGAGUUCCCAUUGUGGCGCAGUGGUUAACGAAUCCGACUAAGAACCAUGAGGUUGCGGGUUCGGUCCCUGCCCUUGCUCAGUGGGUUAACGAUCCAGCGUUGCUGUGAGCUGUGGUGUAGGUUGCAGACGAGGCUCGGAUCCCACGUUGCUGUGGCUCUAGCGUAGGCCGGUGGCUACAGCUCCCAUUCGACCCCUAGCCUGGGAACCUCCAUAUGCCGUGGGAGCGGCCCAAGAAAUAGCAAAAAGACAAAAAACAAAACAAAACAAAACAAAUGUCCCCUCUAUUUGUAUUUCUUGAAAUCAUAGGCAUAGGACACACAGUUGCUUAGUAAUAGUUUUUAAAAUCUUUGUUUAAAUUAAGAAACCUUUAUAAUGAAGCCAUCUUCUAGAUACCAGAUAUUGUCCAAGUGAAAAAAAAAUUAGCAUCACAUCAAAUGAGAUAAAUUUUAUGUUUCCUAAUUUAACACAAUGAGAAGAUAUUCUUUAUUAUCUUCUAAAAGUUUUUUAGGACUCUGUAAUUUGUUUUUGUGUGUGAUAUGUCUCCAAAUUAAUUUUUUUUCCAAUGC
rnacentral:lncRNA from 1 species